rnacentral:rRNA from 1 species
AUUGAACGCUGGCGGCAUGCUUUACACAUGCGAGUCGAACGGUAACAGGCCGCAAGGUGCUGACGAGUGGCGAACGGGUGAGUAAUGCAUCGGAACGUGCCCAGUCGUGGGGGAUAACUACUCGAAAGAGUAGCUAAUACCGCAUACGAGCUAUGGAUGAAAGCGGGGGACCGUAAGGCCUCGCGCGAUUGGAGCGGCCGAUGUCAGAUUAGGUAGUUGGUGGGGUAAAGGCUCACCAAGCCAACGAUCUGUAGCUGGUCUGAGAGGACGACCAGCCACACUGGGACUGAGACACGGCCCAGACUCCUACGGGAGGCAGCAGUGGGGAAUUUUGGACAAUGGGCGCAAGCCUGAUCCAGCAAUGCCGCGUGCAGGAAGAAGGCCUUCGGGUUGUAAACUGCUUUUGUACGGAACGAAACGGCCCUGGUUAAUACCCGGGGCUAAUGACGGUACCGUAAGCAUAAGCACCGGCUAACUACGUG